CCUACGGGGAGCAGCAGUGAGGAAUAUUGGUCAAUGGCCGGAAGGCUGAACCAGCCAAGCCGCGUGAAGGACGAAGGUGCCAAGCAUUGUAAACUUCUUUUGUCAAGGGACAAAAUCAGGCUCGAGAGCCUGACCGAGGGUACUUGAAGAAACAGCAUCGGCUAACUCCGUGCCAGCAGCCGCGGUAAUACGGAGGAUGCGAGCGUUAUCCGGAUUUACUGGGCGUAAAGAGAGCGUAGGCGGCACUACAAGUCUCAUGUGAAAUCCCCGGGCUUAACUUGGGGGUUGCAUGGGAAACUGUAGAGCUUGAGUACAGGAGAGGCAAGCGGAAUUCCUAGUGUAGCGGUGAAAUGCAUAGAUAUUAGGAGGAACACCAGUGGCGAAGGCGGCUUGCUGGACUGAAACUGACGCUGAGGCUCGAAAGCGUGGGGAGCAAACAGGAUUAGAUACCCCUGUAGUC
rnacentral:rRNA from 1 species